GGGGGUGUAGCUCAGUGGUAGAGUGCAUGCUUUGCAUGUAUGAGGCCCCGGGUUCAAUAUCCAAGACAUGAAACUAGACCAUAAAUCCAUUGGGGUCUCCCCA